UACAGAGGUGGCAAGCGUUGUUCGGAAUUACUGGGCGUAAAGGGCGCGUAGGCGGCCUACUAAGUCGGACGUGAAAGCCCCAGGCUUAACCUGGGAACUGCGUCCGAUACUGGGAGGCUUGGAUUCGGGAGAGGGAUGCGGAAUUCCAGGUGUAGCGGUGAAAUGCGUAGAUAUCUGGAGGAACACCGGUGGCGAAGGCGGCAUCCUGGACCGAGAUCGACGCUGAGGCGCGAAAGCUAGGGGAGCAAACGGG
rnacentral:rRNA from 1 species